UACGGAGGAUGCGAGCGUUAUCCGGAUUUAUUGGGUUUAAAGGGUGCGUAGGCGGAUUGAUAAGUUAGAGGUGAAAUGUCCGAGCUUAACUCGGGAACUGCCUCUAAUACUGUUGAUCUAGAGAGUAGAUGCGGUAGGCGGAAUGUAUGGUGUAGCGGUGAAAUGCUUAGAGAUCAUACAGAACACCGAUUGCGAAGGCAGCUUACCAAUCUAUAUCUGACGUUGAGGCACGAAAGCGUGGGGAGCAAACAGG
rnacentral:rRNA from 1 species